GCGCGGUUAGCUCAGCGGGAGAGCGCUUCCCUGACACGGAAGAGGUCGCUGGUUCAAUCCCAGCACCGCGCACCA
rnacentral:tRNA from 1 species